CAGCGAGGAGCAAACUGGUCCAGCAGGGAAGUACGGGCAUUAUUAGAGUUUAAGAGAGAGGUUUUUGAGAUAACUCUAGUCAGCAGCUGCCCAGAUUUGCCUUCAUAUGCACCUGUUCCUGAUGCUGGCCUAACAAAGGAAGUGUUCUCUAGUGUAGAUGUCUAUGAUACAAAUAGUUUAAGAUGUACUCUCAAUAUAUAUUCUUAGAAAAUUAGUGUCAAGCAGAAUUUAAGUUCAGGUCAGCUUUAUGCUAUACCUAACGCUGUUUGCAGAAAUGACAAGUACUGUUAAUAGUUUGUAAUCUCAGCAGUCCUGUCCAACCUUAAAUGAAUUUUCAGUAGGAUGCAUGUGUGGAAGUGUAAUGUAUCUUAAGAGUGAUGUACAAUCUAAGAUUGCAUAUUUUUGUGGUGCACAACUUGUGAACCAAAUAUUGAAACUUGCACUGGUUUUUCAUUGUUGUUGUUUUGGGAUGAGCAGACAUUUAGAGAUGCAUGCUGGAAUUAAUAAAGUUGAUCAUUCAUUUUCAUUGUAUUUUCUGCCUGUUCCUUAACCGAGAAUGUCUAAUGCUGAUAUACUUUACUCUUCUUCAGAAUUUUGCUUCAAAGUGAGUGGAAGCCUCAAACAUUUAUUCCAAAGAGUU